rnacentral:rRNA from 1 species
GAUGAACGCUGGCGGCGUGCCUAAUACAUGCAAGUCGAGCGAACAGAUGAGAAGCUUGCUUCUCUGAUGUUAGCGGCGGACGGGUGAGUAACACGUGGGUAACCUACCUAUAAGACAGGGAUAACUCCGGGAAACCGGGGCUAAUACCGGAUAAUAUUUUGAACCGCAUGGUUCAAUAGUGAAAGACGGUUUCGGCUGUCACUUAUAGAUGGACCCGCGCCGUAUUAGCUAGUUGGUAAGGUAACGGCUUACCAAGACGACGAUACGUAGCCGACCUGAGAGGGGGAUCGGCCACACUGGAACUGAGACACGGUCCAGACUCCUACGGGAGGCAGCAGUAGGGAAUCUUCCGCAAUGGGCGAAAGCCUGACGGAGCAACGCCGCGUGAGUGAUGAAGGUCUUCGGAUCGUAAAACUCUGUUGUUAGGGAAGAACAAAUUUGUUAGUAACUGAACAAGUCUUGACGGUACCUAACCAGAAAGCCACGGCUAACUACGUGCCAGCCGCCGCCGUAA